rnacentral:piRNA from 1 species
UAAGUAUCUGUGGUAUCUUGCCUUAGUA